GUACCAGACAAUGGUGGAAAUAGCGGAAAUGAUAAUG
rnacentral:sRNA from 1 species